AGGCGCUGAUCCCUAGGGGACUCCCCUCUGAUGCGGGGGAUGAGGGAGUUCGAUCUUCCCAGCGUCUA
rnacentral:tRNA from 1 species